rnacentral:rRNA from 1 species
ACUCCUACGGGAGGCAGCAGUGGGGAAUAUUGCACAAUGGGCGCAAGCCUGAUGCAGCCAUGCCGCGUGUGUGAAGAAGGCCUUCGGGUUGUAAAGCACCUUCAGUCGUGAGGAAGGUAGUGUAGUUAAUAGCUGCAUUAUUUGACGUUAGCGACAGAAGAAGCACCGGCUAACUCCGUGCCAGCAGCCGCGGUAAUACGGAGGGUGCGAGCGUUAAUCGGAAUUACUGGGCGUAAAGCGCAUGCAGGUGGUUGUUAAGUCAGAUGUGAAAGCCCGGGGCUCAACCUCGGAAUAGCAUUUGAAACUGGCAGACUAGAGUACUGUAGAGGGGGUAGAAUUUCAGGUGUAGCGGUGAAAUGCGUAGAGAUCUGAAGGAUACCGGUGGCGAAGGCGGCCCCUGGACAGAUACUGACACUCAGAUGCGAAAGCGUGGGAGCAAACAGGAUUAGAUACCCCUGGUAGACUGUCA